rnacentral:tRNA from 2 species
GCGAAUGUGGCGGAACUGGUAGACGCGCUGGAUUUAGGUUCCAGUGGUAACCCCGUGAGAGUUCGAGUCUCUCCAUUCGCACCA